rnacentral:rRNA from 1 species
UCGAGGAUCUUCGGCAAUGGGCGCAAGCCUGACCGAGCGACACUGUGUGCGCGAUGAAGGCCUUCGGGUUGUAAAGCGCUGUCGAGGGGGAGGAAGCCGCAAGGUUGACCUAUCCCUGGAGGAAGCACGGGCUAAGUUCGUGCCAGCAGCCGCGGUAAGACGAACCGUGCAAGCAUUGUUCGGAAUCACUGGGCUUAAAGGGCGCGUAGGCGGUCGAUCACGUCCGGGGUGAAAGCUUUCGGCUUAACCGGAAAAGUGCCUUGGAUACGGAUCGGCUUGAGGGAGGUAGGGGCAGGUGGAACUUCCGGUGGAGCGGUGAAAUGCGUUGAUAUCGGAAGGAACGCCGGUGGCGAAAGCGACCUGCUGGAUCUCUUCUGACGCUGAGGCGCGAAAGCUAGGGGAGCAAACGGGAUUAGAUACCCCCGUAGUCC